AUUGAUUUUUGGCACUAACUAAUGAGAUAAAAAUAAGGAGAGGAGAAUGGCAUCUUCAGACUAUAAAGGAAGAUUAAAAUUCCAAAAUAAAAAAAGAAAUGAGUCAAUCCAAACUCAAUUUUCAAAAAAAAACCUAGAACAAAGCAAAACGUAUGAGGAUUCAUUGGAAACCAAUAAUAAUAGGCAAUCUAAUGAAAUUCCACAUAUAAAUGCUCAAAAAAAUCAGAAAGAUGAUAGUUCAUAUCAUGAAAUAAUUCAAAAUCUGAACCAUGGAGUUCAGGAAAAUUCAGAUGCUCCCCUAGACAUUGUUUAUAACUAUUCAGAUAGGAAUAUGAAGGAAAUACAUUCAAAUUAUAAUUCAGACCAUUUUGAAUCUAUAAAUUCCAAAAUAGCUCAAAAAGAGGCUAUUUUAAGUCAUGAACAAACUCACACAUCUAAACAUAAAAUCCAAGGGAUUUUAAGCAGAAAUAUCAAUCCCCUGGACACUGGUUCUAACUAGCCAGACAGAAACAUGAAGGAAAUACCUUCAAAAGCUAAUUCAGACCAUUCUGAAUUUAUAAACCAUAAAACAGCUAAAAAAAAUCCUAGAAACCAGGUCCAGUUACCUUAUGAAGCAUAAUUUUAGAUGUCAUAUUCAGAAGAAAAUAAUAGAAAAAUUAGGACAAAAAAACAAAAAGAAAGAGGAAACCACAAGGAUUAUUCAAUCUAUAGGUCUGAAAACAGAAUUGGGAACUUAUAUAUCUAAAGAGACAAGAUAUUAUGUUCUAAUAACACUCUAUAUCCUUUUCUAAAGUUAUGUUCUAAAAAUCAAGACUCUUCAACAAAUAGAAUCAACACUAAACACUAAAGACACUGAGAAUGAAUCAUCAAACCAGCUGGAUUAUUUUUAAGAAAAUAACACACUAAUUGAUAUAAACCAGUCAUACAAUCCCAAAUAAAAUUAUGAGAAAUUUACAGCUACUUUUUAAAGCAUAAUACUACAUAAAUUUAAAGGAUAAUAUCUUGAUCCUAAAAAAAUUGAGAGGUCCUAGUAAAGAAGUUAAAUGUGACCCUAAUUGAUUUAAACCAUUCAUACAACUCUAGAGAAAAAUUAAGAAGUCCUAUUCAGCAAGAUGGUACUUGAAAAUAGAAACACAGAAAAUUAAAGAACAAUAGAUGAUUAAUUUGAUUAUUCAUCUUUUCUUGAAUUUCGUUAUGAAGAUAGCCUGUUAUAAUUGUUUAAUUGCAUUGGUGUGAAAAUGAGGAAAUUGAUUUUUGGCACUAACUGAUGAGAUAAAAAUAAAGAGAGGAGAAUGGCAUCUUCAGACUAUAAAGGAAGUUUAAAAUUCCAAAAUAAAAAAAGAAAUGAGUCAAUCCAAACUCAAUUUUCAAAAAAAAACCUAGAACAAAGCAAAACGUAUGAGGAUUCAUUGGAAACCAAUAAAAAUAGGCAAUCUAAUGAAAUUCCACAUAUAAAUGCUCAAAAAAAUCAGAAAGAUGAUAGUUCAUAUCAUGAAAUAAUUCAAAAUCUGAACCAUGGAGUUCAGGAAAAUUCAGAUGCUCCCCUAGACAUUGUUUAUAACUAUUCAGAUAGGAAUAUGAAGGAAAUACCUUCAAAUUAUAAUUCAGACCAUUUUGAAUCUAUAUAUUCCAAAAUAGCUCAAAAAGAGGCUAUUUUAAGUCAUGAACAAACUCACACAUCUAAA
rnacentral:lncRNA from 1 species